GACGAACGCUGGCGGCAUGCCUAAUACAUGCAAGUCGAGCGAACAGAUGAAGUGCUUGCGCUUCUGACGUUAGCGGCGAACGGGUGAGUAACACGUAAGGAAUCUACCUAUAAGCGGGGGAUAACAUUCGGAAACGGGUGCUAAUACCGCAUAAUAUCUUCUUCCGCAUGGAAGAAGAUUGAAAGACGGCUCUGCUGUCACUUAUAGAUGACCUUGCGGUGCAUUAGUUAGUUGGUGGGGUAAUGGCCUACCAAGACGAUGAUGCAUAGCCGACCUGAGAGGGUGAUCGGCCACAUUGGGACUGAGACACGGCCCAAACUCCUACGGGAGGUAGCAGUAGGGAAUCUUCCGCAAUGGGCGAAAGCCUGACGGAGCAAUGCCGCGUGAGUGAAGAAGGCCUUCGGGUCGUAAAACUCUGUUAUAAGAGAAGAACAAAUUGUAGAGUAACUGCUACAGUCUUGACGGUAUCUUAUCAGAAAGCCACGGCUAACUACGUGCCAGCAGCCGCCGUAA
rnacentral:rRNA from 1 species